UCCAUCACCAUAUUACCAAGUUCACUUUGUCGUUUUGGCUCCAACCACCAAGACGUCUGUCAGAAGAAUUCCUGAUUCAAUUUCGUUACUCCAGCCAUGAUGACUAACGAGGAAAUCCCCGUUGCUUCCCUUGGCCAAAUACUAAUUAGUCGUUGUUUGGAUUUCGUGUCCAUGUCCGUCUCAUAAAAAAUAGAAACAAAUAUAUCCAACGACCACCUUCCUCAGUACAUAUCACUUGUUUUUUAUAUCAUAAAAACACAAUUUUUGUUGCAUCUUUGUUCUUGUUCCUUCAAAUUUUUUUCCAUGGAUAGAAAAAAAAUCCUAAUUGGUCUGAUUGUUCCUGUUCCUGCGUUCAUCUUGUCAUAAACUGAAAAACUGCACUGUUUGUAGAAUAUUUACUAGACAUCCACUAUCUUGCAUUUACUACCUUCUCUACAUGUUUGUUCUAACUAAUUGGUUUACGGUAUUUUACCAUUUCAUAAAAAUCUAAUUGCACUGACUGUUUGCUUUCCUUUGUUCUUCUUGUUCUAAAUCUGAAAGUUGCAUUGACUGCAAAUUGACUCAGCAUACAUGUCUUCCUCUAGGGGCAAGGGUAAGCGACCGACAACGAGUGAUCAAAACCUGGUGGUCCCUGAUGGAAAGGAUGUCCAUAUUCAGUACUUCUGGAAAGAACGACAAAAUGACAGCAUCGCAUUGACGCGAGAUUGGCCACAGUUCUAUCGAAGGUACAAAAUCAAUCUGGACUCCAUGCUGUAUUUCAAACACAUAGGUAACUCUGAUUUCCAAGUGCAUAUCUUCACCUUUGGUGGCCAUACUAUCCCCACGUACCAACAACUACUGUAUGAAAAGUAAGGCACCUACUAGCGUGUCAGCUGUAUCAACAAUCCUUUUUUCGACAAAGUUAAAGCAAUAGAUGAAAAAUUCUCCACCAAAUGCCCCUUUUUCGUGAUGGACCUCACUGGCCUCAUCUUGUCUUCCCACUUGUUGAGACACCCACUCUUCUUUGUACACGGCUAUAUUGAGGUUGAAGCAACCUACACUAAAUUUAGUGGCACACAAAACAGUAGCUUCGGGAUAAUUUCUGGAAGUUGGGAAAACUUUGCAAGUUUGUGCAAUUUCAAGCCUGGAGGUGUUGGGACCUUCAAGGUCAUCUUAGUUAAAUCGGUCACAAUCCUUCAAGUCCGAUGCCACUAGGAAUAUGCAAGCUGAU